UAAAUAGUGUAUCAGAGUAUGAGGUAGCAAAUUGGGUGUUGGGUCCCCGCUUAGUGUACUAGUUUGCUAUCCUGCUAUCCUCAGUGUUAGAUGAUGAGAUUUGGAAGUAGAUGUUGUGUUUGUGUGUUAAGGGGGCCCUUUUAGACUUGUGGACUCAUGGUUUGAGAAGUUGCUUAGUAGUGUAUUAGCAGAGAGGAAGCUGAGAAUGCUACCAGCUGUUCCAAUGCUUUUCUCUUGCUAACCACCUGUGUAAGAACUUGUUUUCAUUCGCUAAUCUGAUGACUGCCCAGCCAUUGGCUCUUGGUUAAUUUCGCCUUAAAUUUGUCGUGGUUACUUCUUCUGUGUGCUACUGUGUGUAAUCUAUCUGCUUCGUUUGGCUUUUUGUAACUCGGUUGAAUUCUUAGCUGUGAC
rnacentral:lncRNA from 1 species